rnacentral:rRNA from 1 species
GACGAACGCUGGCGGCGUGCUUAACACAUGCAAGUCGAACGGAAAGGCUCCAGCUUGCUGGAGUACUCGAGUGGCGAACGGGUGAGUAACACGUGGGUAAUCUGCCCUGCACUCUGGGAUAAGCCUGGGAAACUGGGUCUAAUACUGGAUAUGACCUUUCUCCUUAUAGGGUUUGGUGGAAAGUUUUUCGGUGUAGGAUGAGCCCGCGGCCUAUCAGCUUGUUGGUGGGGUGAUGGCCUACCAAGGCGACGACGGGUAGCCGGCCUGAGAGGGUGAUCGGCCACAUUGGGACUGAGAUACGGCCCAGACUCCUACGGGAGGCAGCAGUGGGGAAUAUUGCACAAUGGGCGGAAGCCUGAUGCAGCGGCGCCGCGUGAGGGAUGACGGCCUUCGGGUUGUAAACCUCUUUCAGCAGGGACGAAGCGUAAGUGACGGUACCUGCAGAAGAAGCACCGGCUAACUAUGUG